GGCUUUGAAGUGGAAAGGGAGUGGGUGGUGGGGGGGUGUGUGGCUUUAGGGUCUCUGGCUUAGGAAGCUGAGUCUCCGUAGUGCCAUUCAUACAGAUGGAAUGAGGGAAGAAGCAGUUUCAUGGGAAAGUAGUAAAUUUGAUUGAGUAACAAGAGCUUGGGGGAUCCAGAAGAGAGCUAGGUUUGCAGUUCAGGAGUCCAGGAGAGAGUCAGACUGAAAACAUAAGCCCAUGGAUAGUCAGUCAUUGAAGCCAUGGGAAUGAAGAUCACCUAUGGGAAACACAGAUAGAAGCGAAUGUUACCACAAUGAAGUGUGGUCUAUACAAUUAAUUGCUGCAAAGAGGUCAGAUGAGAAAAUGAAGAUGUUAUGUGUCUUUCUCAGCCCAUGAGUAGUAGAUUUUCAGUUCAAAUUCCAACCUUUCUCCAAAUCCAUAUUCCGUACACAGCACCACCUCUCAGCAUAUAUUUGCUAUGUGGUAGCAGAAUCCUUGGUGAAUGAGCAUCGAAAGGCAUGUUUUGAUCAGGCUGGGAAAUGAGGAGAGAAUGCGAAGAUCUGAAAGGAUCCCCUGUCUGGAAUAAAUCUUGGUAAAAGAUGCUACGAAAGCUGGACCUAGGACAGGAGGAUAUGAAGAGCAAAGGGAGACAGGCAGAAUGAGAAUAUGGUAAUAGCAGAGGUACCAAAGCGUUGUGUAGGGGAAUAAAGUCCAGCAAAGUGGGGAGGAGCAGAAAAGAAGAACCCACGUCCUAGGCCAGCCUACACAGCACUCCUGAGCAGGGGAGAUCUGAAUAGAGUGAUCUGUGAUAUCUUCCCACUAAUCCCAAGUCAGGAGAGAGAGAGAAUGAAGAUCCAUUGCUGUAGAGGAACAAACUGAACGUGUUGAAGGUCCCGCAAGGCCAAUGUGGCUGGAAUGCAGACACAAAGCCAGGAGGAACAAGAGAUGGGGCUGACAAGAGAGGCAGGAGUCAGAUCUCAUGGGAACUGUCACCUGCAGUGUUGCAGACCUCUUUGAAUACACCAUGAGCACUGUGGAUUCUCGCCUCUGGAGAAUAAAAAUCACAUACAGAAAAGUUCAGACAACUUUAAGGAGUUUGAAGAAUCCCUGCUAGUCGUGGACCCAUCUGGGGUUGGUGGAUUCCUCACCAUGACUCUUUGGAUUCAGAAGUCAUAUAAGAUGCAGUUUAACAAAUAUUGGAAGUCAAAUGAGCAUUCUGCGGAAAAACAGCUUCUUCCAUACAUCAUCUUCUGGAAUAUCCCAGAUCUGGAAGAGGUCACAGGAAUGUCCAUUCAUAGGGAGCUCUACCUGGAGCUCAGAGAUGAUUGAGAGAGGGUAUUCAUCAUGGAUGUGUCCAAGUGAAGGUAGUUUGGAAAGAAACAAAGUUACCCUUUUUUCUCACUAAACAUCUUAGGGUCCCCAUUAGCAGGAAGGAAGGAAGAGGACAGGUGAGCUCCCUGGUAUUGAUGUAUUUACAGAGAACCUAGGCAUCAGCCAUACAUACAGAGGACACUCAUUUGGCCAGAAUUUGGGCUUUGACUUUAAUUAAAUUCCCUUGCUCCCAAUAAGACCUCUCUUAAUCUGAAAACAAUUUGUCAUAAGUGAUGUACCUGCCAAGACCUCAUGGCAAAGAGGCAGGGGGUACCUAGUAAAUGUUGCUGACAAACUCCAGCAUGACUCUAAAGGGACAGUGGCUUCCUUUGGAUGGUCAUGUGCUGCUGCUGGACAUAGCAAUCAGAAGGACAGUGGUGAACACCCAGGAGUGAACCAAGAUGCAAAGUUCAAGUCCGAGGGAAGAAGGGUGCAGUGCGGAAGAAGGGAAGGCAGAUGCUGCAGCCCUGCCUACAAGCAAGGAGGGAGCCAUUAAGAGCCCCAAGCUGGCCAGGCGCAGUGGCUUGCGCCUGUAUUCCUAAUCCCGGCACUUUGGGAAGCCAAGGUGGACGGAUCACCUGAGGUCAGGAGUUUGAGACCAGCUUGACCAACAUGGAGAAACUCUGUCUCUACUAAAAAUACAAAAUUAGCCAGGAGGCUGAGGCAGAAGAAUUGCUAGAAUCCGGGAGGUAGAGGUUGCAGUGAGCCGAGAUCGUGCCAUUGCACUCUAGCCUGGGCAACAAGAGCGAAACUCCAUCUCAAAAAAACAAAAAAGCCCCAAGCCUACUUUAUCAGACAGAGGAAUCAAGUUGUAUUUCCUUCUCACCAAGAGACGCUGGAAAGCUGUAAUCUUACACCAGUGGAGAAAGUGAGAGGAAAAUAAACCCUUUCUAAGGAUGAAUCCUGAAAGCCUUUCACAGACAAUGCUGCUUCUAUAAGAAUGACCUGUGAUGGCUAAGCCAUCACAGUCUUCAUUCCAAUUGACAUUCUAGGUAAACCUGCGCACAACUUUUUCUGUGUAUUUUCCAAAAAAGGAUCAUUUUAUAAAGGCUCAAGUUAUUUA
rnacentral:lncRNA from 1 species